UUGAUAUAUAUUGCGUGAGUUAUAAUUUUUAAUCCGAUCGUUGGAUUGUUAUAAUUUUUGGAUAUAUUAUACAUAUAUAAGUUGAGUAUAUAUCCACAAAUUGUGAACCGUUUAAGAUUAACUAAUGAUUUGUUAUGAAUUUAAGGAGGUGACUGAUCUAGAAAAUGUUGUAGCAGAAAUUUCGGUAAGCCUUUCUCUCUAUGUUAGAGUCAUAAUUUGGGAAAACUUUCUUCUACAAAGUUGUAGAGAAUUAAAUUUUACAUAGAAGGACA
rnacentral:lncRNA from 1 species